GUCGUCGUAGAGUCGCAUGCGAGAGUGAGGGAGUGAUUUGUGGAGCUUUCGAUGGUGAACAGAGACGGAUCUCGAAGAAGAGGUGGAAUUGGGUUGAGAGAGAAAGAGAGGGAACACCAUGGGAGGAGAUUGGAGGACGAUGUUUUCACCAGCCGCGUGUGUAUAGAUUGGAAGAGAUUGAUAGAUUAUUAGGAGCGAGACUGUCGCGCCGAUUGACGCCAGCGCCAUAUCUAAUCGCCGAUGGAUGAGUGAGUGAAGCUGCGAGUCAAACGUCAGAUCUACGGGAACGAAAGGCUACUUUUCCUUUGAAUACAAAACCAGCAACGACGCCACGCCAUAUGUAAACCACAAACGACGUAGUUUUUUAUCUAAUGUCUUUUUCUUUUCUCUUUCAAUUUUUUUACCACAACUAAACUAAAUUUAACGUUUAACCAUAUGCAAAAUCCAGUUAUUUUAUAUUUUUAAUUUUUAUAAUUGGAACAAAUUUAAGGUUGAUUAUCUAAUAAAUAAAAAUCUCCACUAUUAUUGUUUCCAAACAAUUCUCAUUUAUAUUGUUAUUCAUGUUUUCAAACAUUAACAAAAAGUACUUGAGUUUUAAUAAUAUCGAUGGAAACAAAAUUAAAAAUAUAACCAGAUAACUUAGUGAAUAUAACAAGUAACCAUGUUUAUACUUAACCAUGUUUAUACUGUAUACGAAUGGUGUUGUGGAAAUUGUUGCCUCUUUUAUUCAACAUAUUUUGUCUGUUCUAAAUGCAUAGUGAUGCACUAUCAUAAAAGUAUAUAAAUUCACACAAAAUAAGUAAUCAAGAAAACAUAAAUAAAAUUUUCUAAAGUUUAUCAGAUUCAUGAAUGUUGUUAGGAAGAAAAUCUGAAUAAUAAAUACAAAUAUUAUUUACUAAAAAGCCGAAUAAUGAAUACAUUUUUGAAGAUACAUUAAGUUGACUAGCUUCAUAAAUAACAUUAUUAUAUUAUUAUACAAUAUAAAUCAUACCAAAAGAAUCGUCGUGUAAUACCUGCGAAUUUUGAUGAUACAAUCAGAUCGGUAAUCGGCGUUGAAGGGAAGGGAAGGGAUUGACUUACCCGUUGAGGAGAAGGUCGUCGUAGAGUCGCAUGCGAGAGUGAGGGAGUGAUUUGUGGAGCUUUCGAUGGUGAACAGAGACGGAUCUCGAAGAAGAGGUGGAAUUGGGUUGAGAGAGAAAGAGAGGGAACACCAUGGGAGGAGAUUGGAGGACGAUGUUUUCACCAGCCGCGUGUGUAUAGAUUGGAAGAGAUUGAUAGAUUAUUAGGAGCGAGACUGUCGCGCCGAUUGACGCCAGCGCCA
rnacentral:lncRNA from 1 species